rnacentral:rRNA from 1 species
UACGAAGGGGGCUAGCGUUGUUCGGAAUUACUGGGCGUAAAGCGCGCGCAGGCGGUCUUCCAAGUCAGUGGUGAAAGCCCGGAGCUCAACUCCGGAACUGCCAUUGAAACUGUGAGACUUGAGGAUGAGAGAGGUGAGUGGAAUUCCCAGUGUAGAGGUGAAAUUCGUAGAUAUUGGGAAGAACACCGGUGGCGAAGGCGGCUCACUGGCUCAUUUCUGACGCUCAGGCGCGACAGCGUGGGGAUCAAAUAGG